rnacentral:rRNA from 1 species
UACGUAGGGUCCAAGCGUUGUCCGGAUUUAUUGGGCGUAAAGAGCUCGUAGGCGGCUUAGUAAGUCGGAUGUGAAAACUCGGGGCUCAACCCCGAGACGCCAUCCGAUACUGCUGUGGCUUGAGUCUGGUAGGGGAACACGGAAUUCCUGGUGUAGCGGUGAAAUGCGCAGAUAUCGAGAGGAACACCUGCGGCGAAGGCGGGUUGCUGGGCCGACACUGACGCUGAUGCGCGAAAGCCAGGGGAGCGAACGGG